rnacentral:rRNA from 1 species
UACGUAGGGGGGCGAGCGUUGUCCGGAAUCAUUGGCGUAAAGAGCGUGUAGGCGGCCAGGUAGGUCUGCUGUGAAAACUCGAGGCUCAACCUCGAGAUGUCGGCGGAAACCAUCUGGCUAGAGUCCGGAAGAGGAGAGUGGAAUUCCUGGUGUAGCGGUGAAAUGACGCAGAUAUCAGGAAGAACACCCGUGGCGAAGGCGGCUCUCUGGGACGGUACUGACGCUGAGACGCGAAAGCGUGGGGAGCGAACAGG